CGGAUUGUAGUCUGCAACCCGACUACAUGAAGCCGGAAUCGCUAGUAAUCGCGGAUCAGAAUGCCGCGGUGAAUACGUUCCCGGGUCUUGUACACACCGCCCGUCACACCAUGAGAGCCGUCAAUGCCCGAAGUCCGUAGCCUAACCGCAAGGAGGGCGCGGCCGAAGGUGGGUUCGAUAAUUGGGGUGAAGUCGUAACAAGGUAUC
rnacentral:rRNA from 1 species